GACAGAGGGGGCAAGCGUUGCUCGGAAUCACUGGGCGUAAAGGGCGCGUAGGCGGGAUGGCAAGUCAGUCGUGAAAUCUCUCGGCUCAACCGAGAAACGUCGGCUGAUACUGCCGUUCUUGAGGGAUGCAGAGGAGACUGGAAUUCCCGGUGUAGCGGUGAAAUGUGUAGAGAUCGGGAGGAACACCGGUGGCGAAGGCGGCCUGCUGGGCUGUUGCUGACGCUGAGGCGCGACAGCGUGGGGAGCAAACAGG
rnacentral:rRNA from 1 species